rnacentral:rRNA from 1 species
GACGGAGGAUGCAAGUGUUAUCCGGAAUCACUGGGCGUAAAGCGUCUGUAGGUGGUUUAAAAAGUCUACUGUUAAAGCUUGAAGCUUAACUUCAAAAAUGCCGUAGAAACUUUUAAACUUGAGUAUGGUAGGGGUAGAGGGAAUUUCCAGUGGAGCGGUGAAAUGCGUAGAUCUUGGAAAAGACCACCAAUGGCGAAAGCACUCUGCUGGGCCGACACUGACACUGAGAGACGAAAGCUAGGGGAGCGAAUGGG